UCCAAAUUAUAUGAUGGGGAUAUGCAACUCCAUAUUUCUUGUUGGAUGGGCAUUAGUCCUCCUGAAUCAUAUUGAUAGGAGGCAUUGCAGUAUGCAGGAGGACACUUAAACUACAUGGGAAAUAAUCCUGGGCGCAAGGCUGAAUCUUUCUAGAACUUCUUGUUGAUCAUUUAUUUGGUCUGAUACUAAAGCUAGAAUCACUGUAUGAGUGUCUUCCAUCUAUAUUAAAAUGUUCAGCCUUGAGAACUUAGAGAUGAUUUGAAAAAUGGAGCUCAUUAGAAGCAGCAUAUUUUGUGUAACCUUCAGAAACUGCAGCAAGAAUAUGCAUAUGCAGCAUUUCCAGUUUUUAGAACAGAGUUUUAAACACAUGCUUCCUCUCAGAGGAAGUGAAGCUGAUGUUUAACACCCAAAUGUGGUCAUCUGGUGCUAUUUCAGAUGCUCUAUGAUGUAUGCCGCAUCCACGUCGGGUUGGCAGAUAUGACGCAAGUCCUGAGAGGCUACUUCAUUUUGAGAUGCCUGCUGGAAGACAGCUUGGAUGCAUACUCUCAUUUUUAUACUUCAAAAAAUGCAGCUCUACCAUGAUCACAGACCUCUUAAUCUGAGAACAAAAUAAAGAGCAUUGAAAAUGGUCAUUUUUUUUUAUGGCCAAAGGGGCAUCAAACAUGACUCAGAGGAGAGGUGCUAGAUAGGAAUAGUUAGCUGUAGGCAUCCUCCUGGUUGAUGUGGGUGAUAGCCGUCCUCACCACUACAACCACAGCGACCACUAUGGCACGUUUUGCAUUCAUGUGUUUUCUGGGAAGGCACCCACUGGGGCAGGACUGAGGGAAGAAAAGCAGGCAGUACCAGGGCUGUACUCAGCACAGUACUGUCACGUGCAUGCUCAAGUUUCCAGAAAUCCCAUACAGCAAUUUCUCUAUUAUGCAAGUAGAAGAGCUGAUGUUAUGUGUCUGGUCAUUUUUCCUUCCUCGUAUUCACAGUAGUAACUGGUCAGUAUCAUGACAGUCAGCAUUUACCAGGUGUGGCAAUAAAUAAAUAAAUAAAA